rnacentral:rRNA from 1 species
UGGAGCUUCAAACCCAACUACACCCCUAGCUCUUAUAGCCCCACAACCCCCCUAGGCACCGUGUGCUUGGUUUUAGGUUGGGGCGACCGCGGAGUACAAUAAAACCUCCACAAUGAAUGGGAACACCCCCUUAUCUGAGGGCCACACCCCCUAAGAAUUAGAACACUAACAUAAAAUGAUCCAUUACUUGAUCAAUGAACCAAGUUACCCUGGGGAUAACAGCGCAAUCCAUUUCAAGAGCCCCUAUCGACAAAUGGGUUUACGACCUCGAUGUUGGAUCAGGGUACCCCAGUGGUGCAGCAGCUACUAACGGUUCGUUUGUUCAACGAUUAAAACCCU